rnacentral:hammerhead_ribozyme from 1 species
AUCCAGCUGACGAUUCCCGAAUAGGACGAAACGCGAGUCCUGCAU